GAGGUACAGUAAGUGCAGUAGGUAUACAGUGUAUGUAUAUUUUAUUUAUAUAGCGCUAACAGGUGUACUCAGCUCUUUACAUGUUACAUUAGAGGGAGGUACAGUAAGUGCAGUAGGUAUACAGUGUAUGUAUAUUUUAUUUAUAUAGCGCUAACAGGUGUACUCAGCUCUUUACAUGUUACAUUAGAGGGAGGUACAGUAAGUGCAGUAGGUAUACAGUGUAUGUAUAUUUUUUUUUUAUAUAGUGCCAACAGGUGUACUCAGCACUUUACAGGUUACAUUACAGUAGAGGGAGGUACAGUAAGUGCAGUAGGU